rnacentral:ncRNA from 2 species
AUAUAUUUGCAGCACUUUGGUUUCCGGAUGUUUUGUCCGGGAUUAAAAGGGAACGGAGUGCAAUUCUCCGACUGUCCCCGCAACUGUAAAUCGUAAUUUGAGAUUUUGUAAUCUUUGCCAUUGCUCGCCACAGGCGCGUGAGAAGGCGCAAAAUCAGCGAAAGUCAGGAGACCUGCCAAGGAUAAUUUUUAAAU